UGCCUUCAUGUGACCACCUUGUGUUU
rnacentral:piRNA from 1 species